ensembl:lncRNA
UCUUUCAGCAUCAGUAGAACACGCCUGACUGCAAGACCACCUAUUCAAGACCUGCAGUUGUCUCAGGGGUGCCCUACUGAACCAGCAAGCAAAGACAUCAGGAUGCAUUACAGCUUUGAUUUUGCUCAACAAGUGCAUUAUCCUUCUGACCCUAUGCAGCCAGGUCCCAUCUACUUUUUAACUCCUCGCAAGUGUGGCUUGUUUGGUGUCUGCUGUGAAGGAAUGCCACAACAAGUCAACUACUUGAAUGAUGAAGGCAUGUCAUCCAGCAAAGGAAGCAGCGCAGUCAUCAACUACAUGCACCAGUUCUUCACCAACUACGGAGUUGGGGAAACACGUGUGGACCUGAAUUGUGAUAACUGCAGUGGCCAAAACAAGAACACGUUUGUGCUCUGGUAUUGUGCCUGGCGGACCAUGCACAAGCUCCACCACAGUCUGGACCUUAACUUCCUGAUCACAGGCCACACCAAGUUUGCUUGGUGCUUUGGCCUCAUCAAGCAGCGCUUCAGAAAGACCAGAGUGAAUACUUUGUCUGAGAUGGCUGGUGUUGUGAAAGACAGCACAGUGACAGGGGUCAACAUCCCACAGUUGUUUAGACUAGAUGAUGGUUCGGUGCUGGUGAAAAGCUAUGGCUGGCAACCACACCUGACUCCGUACUUCAGGCCGCUGCCACAGAUCAAGCAGUAGCAGCACUUCAAGUGAAUAUCAUUUUCAUUGCAUUGUAUGAGGUUAUUCUUCUUAUCUAAACUUGAGAGGUGAAUUGAUGUUGUGCAAGGUUUUAAUGUUUUCACAUUUUUAUUUCCUGUUUUCCAGCUUUGAUGCUCUGGAGCCUGGUGUUGUCGCCAAGGAGCGUUCAGUCAGGACCAGGUUUCAGCUGCUGCACAACGCUGACAUCCUUCCUCCCAUAGAUGGUCUGCCUGUACAAGCACCACCUGGACUGGACAAAUCUAGACAAACAUAUAUUUUUGAGAAGAUCAGGUAGUGUUGCGACAAAGAGGCUUUGGACAUCACAUGCCCUGCACCAAAGUCAAGGGCAGGACAGGAACAGGCUCUCCGAAUAUAGAUUCCCUUGUUCAUGCGUGGUUCGGACAGACCAGUCAUCAGCACUAUCUGCAGUACUUCUAUUCAAAUGACAAACACACACGCCAUACUUUGCUGCUACUAUUAUGUUUAUUAUCCUGCUGCUCAGCCACUACCCCUGACUGUAUGAAUACAAUUACCUCGUCUAUCACUAUCGUUAUUGAUCUUGUUUGUGUACAUACUGUAUAUUAUUUUAUUUAUAUCGACAUUAUCUAUUUCUGAUAUUGCUGCUAUGCAAGUAACAAUUUUUGUACUGUUUACACCUUCUCUGGCGAUCCGUCCACUUUGCAAGACUUAGCAAAAUAUUGAUAUAUAAAAUGAAUAUUGAUAUGUGUGGUUGUAACAUGAUUUUGUGACAUACCACACACUCACUAAACACAAAUGUUUUGUUUGUAAAUUAUGUCUGAGGGUUGGAGUGUGCCCCUGGCUACCCGUCAAUAAAAAAUAUAAAAAAUGGGCCUGUCUGGUUUAAAGAAUUUGAACUUUUGAUACUUAAGUACAUCUUAGCAAUUCCAAGUACUCAAGUAGUAUUUUAUUGGGUGACUUUUACUUUAGUCAUUUUCUAUUAAGGUAUCUUUACAUCUGGACACUUUCUGUUCACCUAGAAAUGUUCCUUAUUGUAGGCUACUACCACUUUUAGUCUUAAUCUUUACUACACUACUCAUUGUUUAGCACAUGACCUCACAUGUGAAUCCUUAAGCCAGCCCCACCCAUCUCUUUAAGAGGGUGUGAACAAUGCUGAAAGGGUGUAGACAAAGGAGAGCUCUCCAGUCAGUGCCAAAACAUUAAAA